GUCGGGUCCGCUAGUAUAUAAAUAAAAUUAAUUAAAUGAUGCGGAGAAAAAUAUAAACUAUAAAUAUUCUGAAUACUCUGCACCACCUACCAGCUGACAAACACAAGUACAAAAACAAAAGUAAUAAUUUAUAAAAAAUCACAGAUACUAAAGUAAAUACGAGACAAAUUUAGGAAGAAAAAACAAAAACAAAACAUUAUAUAUGUAUAUUGUAUACAUAGUUUCCGAAAGGAGCAAAACCAGAAGUGACAGCUGACAGUUGACACUAAAGAGAUUAUAUAAGACUACGUUAGAAAAAAACGGCUGACGGUUGACGUUGGAUAGAUGUGUGAUUGAUAUGUUAUUAAAUAAUUAUAGGAAAAAAUAUUGGAAAACCUUUAAUAUUUUUGGACAUCAGGAAUUUUGCUCAGGAAAGUUACGUGUUCUUAUUUAUUUGGCUAUUAAAAAAUAAAAAUAAACAUCGUCUGUACUGUUGGGCGGUGUCUUUCUUUAACCGCUGACCACGUUACGUAAGAUACUCUCAAUCCAUCAUUAUAAUAAAGAUAUGAGUUCCGUAGACCCUCCAGACGGAGGAGGAGGGAAACCCCCUGACUUAGCUGUGUUCAUUGAUUGCACAUCGAAUCCAAAUAAUACAAGUAAUAGGUCAGUCCUGAAACGUUCGGCUGAUCAUGUUCACAUUAGUGAAAUAAAAAAAAAUAGACAACCAUCGGAAUCAAUUCAAUCCCUUUUUUCUGUUCCCGGUUUUGAUAUCAAUUCAAAACUCUUAUAUUCUGCUUCUGACAGAGGACCUUUUAUGGUUUUCAUAUCAACGUCUAUGUCGGAUCCUUCUUCAGGAGUGUUGUUAAAAGCUCUUAAAUUUGCACAAUUCAUGUAUAGACAUGAUAUUAAAGGUGUUAUAGAUGGUGGUAUUAAGUCUCUUGGCCGUAAUAAAUUAUCUGUCCAAUUUAGUUCUGCGGAAGAAGCAAAUAAUUUUGUAGGGAAUAUCGUAUUAUCCGAAAAUAAUUUCGAUGUUACUAUCCCUCGUUUUCAAGUCACUCGCAUGGGUGUCGUUAGAAACAUUCCGACAGAUUGGUCUUUGGAAGAAUUCGUCUCAGAUUUUGUAACUCCACCUUAUUGUGGACAAAUCCUCAGAGUUAGGAGACUAAACUUUAAAAUUAAAAAAGAUGACACAGUCACCCGGGCCCCUUCCUCUACGGUAGUUUUGACUUUCUCAGGGCAAGUUCUCCCGGAGAGGGCUUUUGCUAUCACGCAUCGCUUUCUAUGUCCUGUUAUCAGCUGCCAACUAUUCAAUGUCUGAAUUGUUUGCGUGUUGGGCAUGUCCGUGCUCAAUGCAGAUCAAAUUCCCGAUGCUUUCGGUGCUCCUGAGAGCCCCACCAUGGCGAUAAUUGUGACGUUCCCGAGACUAAUGCAACUUGCCAUUUGUGCAGAGGUGGUAAUCAUAAGGCUACUGACCUGAAGUUCUCUGAACAUGCUAGACAACAAAUUAUUAAGCAAGAAAUGUCUCAGGAUAACAUCAGUUAUCGUGAGGCUUCAUCCAGAUAUCCCUCUUCCAAAUUGUUUUAUGCGGAUGUCACAUCAAACCACUCACAACUUUGAAAUAGCCAGUUUUUCUCCACUCAAAAAUCUCAAAUCCUUCCUUCGUCUUCUGUCAUUCAUCAUUCGCCUAUAAACUCCUCCCAUGUCAAAGCUGUUUUUUGCUCCAAUAGAAAUAAGGUGUAAUCGGAAAAUCGUUUGAUGCAGUGGCUCAUACUUCCAUUGUGAACCCCCCUUCAUCAUCCCAACCUAACGGUUGCGCUAUUCAAAAUCCUCAUAAUGAAACAACUCCCUGUGACUCUCCGGAUGAUAACCUGAUUCAAGAAUGGUGUACCGCCCAAAGUCUUAUUUUUAUUAGAACAACUAUUAAACUCUGUCUAACCAUGGACCUCACAAUUCUUCAAUGGAAUAGUUUUUUUUAAUGUAUGUACAACGAUAGAGGACUAUUCACUCAUAGCGUCUAUUAAAUUUUCAUUGUGGAAAUAAACUCUAAUUUUAAAAAAUCCGUGUAUUUGUUUUUUCAUUUACAAUUUCGCGUUAAAACACGGUGUCACGUGACAUUAUCCCUGAGUGACGUCAUCCGCUCAUACACAAACAUUCGUGACAGUUGGGACUAGUGUGGCCAGGUCGAAUUUGUUCGGGAUCGAGAAAGAAGGUAAAAUGAAUGAGCUAUCAUAUAAAUAUUGUUCGGUGCCGUUAUGUAAAAACUCCACACUACAUAAUCCCGAUAAAUUAUUUAUUCAUGUGCCAAAAUCAAAAGAUUUAAGAAAGAAGUGGUUGACUUUAGCACGAGAUCCAAAAUUACUUCGGAUAAAUCGACGAUUUAUUUUUGUGAAGAUCAUUUCAAUUUGCCUGAAGAUAUGGAAAACUACAUGGAAUAUCACAUUAUGAGAUUAGUAAGCAAGUCCGUUUGAAAGCAAACUGUUUGCCUUCUAAGUUUUCAUGUCAACCAAAUAGAUUAAAGAGAGUACUCCAAAGUGUUUCAAGAUCUGCCACUAACAAAAGACAAUGUAUAGCUCUAGUUCAGGAAGCAGAAACAGCAUUAGAGAAUACUUCUACUUUUACUCUUACUGGAAGUAUUAUAGAUACAGCUAGUGAGUACUUUGUCAAAAUAUCAGAUGCAUCAUACACUUCAUCACCAUCUGUUCAGUCACUACAGUUAAAAUUAACAUCAGAUAGUGAACUAGAAAAUAAACAUGAAACAGAUUUACAUAAAAAACUUAGUAUAAUAAGAGAAAAAAAAGAAAAACAGGAUUUUUGACAAGUAUCACUUGAAAACACUUUAAGGCUAAUCAAAACAAACCCUAGGUUUUAUAUUGGAAUUCCUAAACAAUGUUAUAAUCUAGUCAAUAUAAUACAGACAAAACAGGGGUGCCCGAGGAACAUAUUUUAUUAUGUUUAAGUAAAAUAAGACUUGACACACCGUUUUCCCAGCUUGAAGAUCAAUUUGAUAUAUCUUUGUCAUAUGCUAGCAAAAUAUUUAAAAACAACAUACCAAUGAUUGCCAAAAAAUUAUAUCACUUUGGACGAAUAAGUGAUGUAUUAUUAUUGGAAAAUAGCAAGUUUUUGGACAGUUUACCACCUGGAGUUUCUAUUCUGGCUGACAGAGGCUUCAAACACAUCGUACAACUGUUAUUGCAAAAAGGGUACAAACUGGUUAGGCCUCCUAGUAUUCAAUCCAAUUCCAAGUUAUCUAAGCCAGAGGCUCGAAAAACUAAAGAAAUAGCCAGCUUAAGAAUUCAUAUAGAGAGAGCUAUACGACGCAUAAUGGAGUUUUCUAUGUUGAGACAUCACUCAGUUGUGAAUGCUGGGGCUUUAAACAUUUAGAUGAGUGUAUUAUAAUAGCUUGUGCAUUAAUAAAUAUACAGGAUUCUUUGAUUAAAAAUAAAUAAUGUUAAAAAGCUGUUUUAUUUUGUUCUUUUAUACAAUAAGGAAUAAAUAUUGCUUUUCUAAAAUGUUUUGAACAUAAUAAUAGUCCUAUUUGUUGUAUCAAUGUUUUAUCAGUAGAUUCUCAUAAUAAUCUUUCUUUAAUUUCUGUAUUCCGCAAUCCUCUUAUAAAUUGAACUCUGAGGUGCGUCUCAAAUGUAGUAGUUUUACAAUUUUUACAUGUGAAAUUACAUUGACCGCCAAUUUCCUUAAGUGCAGCUACAUAGUUGGCAAUGCUUUCACAUUCCUGUUGCACUAUUCGACAAAACUUAUGAUGCUGUUCCACUUCUCCGGGCUCCGGUGCAAUAUGGUUGCCAAGCAGACUUACUAAUAUGUCAUAAGAUUUUGACUCUGGUGUUUCCGGUGCAGUAAUAUUUCUUAAUAUUUGGUAAUAUUUUGGGCCAAUACAGUUUAGAAAUAUUUGUACUUUUGUAUAUGAGUCUGUCACUCCUUUUAGGGUAAUGUAAUUUUGCAGCCUUUGUAAGUAGCUUGAAAAUGAUUCAGUGGCUUCAUCAUAUUGUUGUAGCGUAAUGCCACUCAUCUUAAUUGCACUUUGGCUAAGCAGUGCUUGUUGCAGAUUUGCUUGUUGUUGCUGCAUGCCCCGAAUGAUUUCUAACAUUAGUGCAAACACUUGGGAUAUUUGUGCUUCCAUUAUAAUUUUUGCUGUAUAUAAGAUAAAGGAAGGUGUGAAGCGGGCUAUCAACACAAGACAGGAGCCCCUGGAUGAAGAGAAAAUAGGUAGGACGCCACUUGGUCACGUAUGCACUAAUGGGUUGUACUGGUUGUAACCAGUUUCGCCUCGCGGUCCAGAAAUCCAGUCCAGCGGAAAUACAGUCUCGUCGCCAAACUGUUGUGUAUGUACUUAUUGUAGAAAAUAAAGACCCUUAUUAUUAAUGUGUUUAUUUGGUACAAAUGCUUUCAGACCUGUUGGAUUAGACUUGCCCGGUAUGUACUGCUUGAUGCCGCACUUCUCUGUGAAUGGUAUAAUCAUCUCAUCGAAAAAUAAACAUUUCUGUUUUACUUGCUUGCGGCAGCCGUUCAUAAUUUUUUCAAGCAAAGGGCGAACUUUCCACAGUUUGUCUUUGCCGCGGUUCUCUCCGCUAAACAUCAUCGUCAUAAACAAACUUAAGUGAAUUUCUUAACUGCAAAAAUCUGUUUCUAGGCAUAUUAUCUGCAAUCAAUGGGAUUCGGUAUUUGGUUUCCCAGUACAUCCUUAUUCUGGGAUAGUUUAUACUAGCCAUAAUCAUUGUGAUGCCUAGAUAAACAUAUAGUUCAGACUCUAUGAGAUAGAGAUUUUUCCCGAAAUUUUUUAAGUGCGUUUGAUUAUAUUUGGCAACAAUG